GUGGGGAAUAUUGGACAAUGGGGGGAACCCUGAUCCAGCCAUGCCGCGUGUGUGAAGAAGGCCUUUUGGUUGUAAAGCACUUUAAGCGAGGAGGAGGCUACCGAGAUUAAUACUCUUGGAUAGUGGACGUUACUCGCAGAAUAAGCACCGGCUAACUCUGUGCCAGCAGCCGCGGUAAUACAGAGGGUGCAAGCGUUAAUCGGAUUUACUGGGCGUAAAGCGCGCGUAGGUGGCCAAUUAAGUCAAAUGUGAAAUCCCCGAGCUUAACUUGGGAAUUGCAGUCGAUACUGGUUGGCUAGAGUAGGGGAGAGGAUGGUAGAAUUCCAGGUGUAGCGGUGAAAUGCGUAGAGAGCUGGAGGAAUACCGAUGGCGAAGGCAGCCAUCUGGCCUAAUACUGACACUGAGGUGCGAAAGCAUGGGGAGCAAACAGGAUUAGAAACCCUUGUAGUCC
rnacentral:rRNA from 1 species